rnacentral:rRNA from 1 species
GACGAACGCUGGCGGCGUGCUUAACACAUGCAAGUCGAACGCUGAAGCCCUUCGGGGUGGAUGAGUGGCGAACGGGUGAGUAACACGUGGGUAAUCUGCCCUGCACUCUGGGAUAAGCCUUGGAAACGGGGUCUAACACCGGAUAGGACACAUCGCCGCAUGGUGUGUGUGUGGAAAGUUCCGGCGGUGCAGGAUGAGCCCGCGGCCUAUCAGCUUGUUGGUGGGGUGAUGGCCUACCAAGGCGACGACGGGUAGCCGGCCUGAGAGGGUGACCGGCCACACUGGGACUGAGACACGGCCCAGACUCCUACGGGAGGCAGCAGUGGGGAAUCUUGCGCAAUGGGCGAAAGCCUGACGCAGCAACGCCGCGUGGGGGAUGACGGCCUUCGGGUUGUAAACCUCUUUCGACCGGGACGAAGGAUUCGUUUGACGGUACCGGUAGAAGAAGCACCGGCUAACUACGUGCCAGCAGCCGCCGUAA